rnacentral:rRNA from 1 species
AGAGUGAACGCUGGCGGCAGGCCUAACACAUGCAAGUCGAACGGCAGCACAGGAGAGCUUGCUCUCUGGGUGGCGAGUGGCGGACGGGUGAGGAAUACGUCGGAAUCUGCCUAUUUGUGGGGGAUAACGUAGGGAAACUUACGCUAAUACCGCAUACGACCUACGGGUGAAAGCGGAGGACCUUCGGGCUUCGCGCAGAUAGAUGAGCCGACGUCGAUUAGCUAGUUGGCGGGUAACGGCCCACCAAGGCGACGAUCCGUAGCUGGUCUGAGAGGAUGAUCAGCCACACUGGACUGACGACCGACGGUCCAGACCGUCCGUACGGG